rnacentral:rRNA from 1 species
UACGUAGGGGGCAAGCGUUAUCCGGAUUUACUGGGUGUAAAGGGAGCGUAGACGGCGAUGCAAGUCUGAAGUGAAAGCCCGGGGCUCAACCCCGGGACUGCUUUGGAAACUGUAUGGCUGGAGUGCCGGAGAGGCAGGCGGAAUUCCUAGUGUAGCGGUGAAAUGCGUAGAUAUUAGGAGGAACACCAGUGGCGAAGGCGGCCUGCUGGACAGAAACUGACGUUGAGGCUCGAAAGCGUGGGGAGCAAACAGG